UACGUAGGUGGCAAGCGUUGUCCGGAAUUACUGGGCGUAAAGCGCACGUAGGCGGACAUUUAAGUCAGGGGUGAAAUCCCGGGGCUCAACCCCGGAACGGCCUUUGAUACUGGGUGUCUUGAGUUCGGAAGAGGUGAGUGGAAUUGCGAGUGUAGAGGUGAAAUUCGUAGAUAUUCGCAGGAACACCAGUGGCGAAGGCGGCUCACUGGUCCGAUACUGACGCUGAGGUGCGAAAGCUAGGGGAGCAAACAGG
rnacentral:rRNA from 1 species